UACGUAGGUGGCAAGCGUUGUCCGGAUUUACUGGGCGUAAAGAGCGCGCAGGCGGUCGUUCAAGUCGCGUGUGAAAGCCCCCGGCUCAACUGGGGAGGGUCACGCGAUACUGAUCGACUCGAAGGCAGGAGAGGGUAGUGGAAUUCCCGGUGUAGUGGUGAAAUGCGUAGAUAUUAGGAAGAACACCAGUGGCGAAGGCGGCUCACUGGCCCGGUACUGACGCUGAGGCGCGAAAGCGUGGGGAGCAAACAGG
rnacentral:rRNA from 1 species